rnacentral:rRNA from 1 species
GACAGAGGGUGCAACCGUUGUUCGGAAUUACUGGGCGUAAAGCGUGUGUAGGCGGUCCACUAAGUCGGGUGUGAAAGCCCUGGGCUCAACCCAGGAAGUGCACUCGAAACUGGCGGGCUAGAGUAUCGGAGAGGUUGGUGGAAUUCUCGGUGUAGAGGUGAAAUUCGUAGAUAUCGAGAGGAACACCGGUGGCGAAGGCGGCCAACUGGACGAAUACUGACGCUGAGACACGAAAGCGUGGGGAGCAAACAGG